rnacentral:rRNA from 1 species
AACGAACGCUGGCGGCGCGCCUAAUACAUGCAAGUCGAGCGAGAAGGUGUAGCAAUACACUUGUAAAGCGGCGAACGGGUGAGGAAUACAUGGGUAAUCUACCAUCGAGUGGGGAAUAACCAACCGAAAGGUUGGCUAAUACCGCGUACGCCUCCGAGUCUUCGGGUUCGGAGGGAAAGCUGCACUGUGAGUGUAGCGCUCUUUGAUGAGCUCAUGUCCUAUCAGCUUGUUGGUAGGGUAACGGCCUACCAAGGCUUUGACGGGUAGCUGGUCUGAGAGGACGAUCAGCCACACUGGCACUGCGACACGGGCCAGACUCCUACGGGAGGCAGCAGUAAGGAAUAUUGCGCAAUGGGCGAAAGCCUGACGCAGCGACGCCGCGUGGGGAUGAAGGUCUUCGGAUUGUAAACCCCUUUCGGGAGGGAAGAUGGAGCGAGCAAUCGUUCGGACGGUACCUCCAGAAGCAGCCACGGCCAACUUCGUGCCAGC